GAUCAUUGUCGAGACCCACCCCGCCAGAACGACCCGCGAAC
rnacentral:rRNA from 5 species